CAGUGUCGUCUUGUUGGUUGUCGCGUUCGUGUGCGCGCACUAAAAAAAAAUCAGCAGCAGCAGCAGUCGCAAAUUGCAAUCAUCAAAUAGCAAAAUAAUAAUAAUUCAGUUCGCUCGCGUUGCAGUUGCAAGUGAAUAAUAUGUUGCCUUGAAAAUAAAAAUAGAACAACAAAUAGUUAACGCAACGUUUCUAAAACUUCUAAGAACUCAAAACAAAAACAAAAGCAAAAGCAAAAAAUAAUAAUAAAUACAAAUAAAGUAAAUAAACAUAAACUUGAUAACCAAAAGUGGCCUGCAAAACGAAGCAACAACCCAGAAAUGUGAUUCAAAGUGCGCAAUGUAACAAAAAACGUACACAACACAAGCAAAAAAAACGAAAAAUACAAAUCAAAUAAAUAGUGAAAUUAAUGAAAAUCAAGUAAAAUACACUAAACACACACACACACCCACAAACAAACACAGCAAUACAAAUGGAACUCAAGACAGUGUGCAGCAGGUCAAGUAGCGAAUUAGCAGCCAUCGUCAAUGAUUAAAGAAGCGAUAGAUUGAUAGCUCGUAACGUCGCCGUCGUCGGAGUCGCAGUCGUCUUAGUUAGUGUUAGACGUAGACCCCCUAAAUGCCCGCACAGCAACAGCAGCAGCAGCAGCAGCCAAAGCAACAGCAGCAACAACUUCUACAAACAGCAACAUCAACAACAACAGUCACAUCAACAGUUCUAGGACAUUAGCCAAGUUCCAGCCAGAGAGAGAGAGAUAGCGAGUUCAGAUUAGAGAUUGAGCAAGGAUUGACCCCAACAACAACAACAACAGCAACAACAUGGACAUCAAGAUUGAGCAGCAGCAACAACAACAACAGCAGCAGCAGGCUGAGCUGGGACCAGUUUCGCCUUCAGAGGUGCCCAAUGAUCCUGGUAAAAUGUUCAUUGGCGGCCUCAGUUGGCAGACAAGUCCAGAGAGCUUACGCGAUUACUUUGGCCGUUACGGCGAUAUCUCGGAGGCAAUGGUCAUGAAGGAUCCCACGACACGCAGAUCCAGAGGCUUUGGCUUUGUCACAUUCAGCGAUCCAAAUAGCGUAGAUAAGGUACUCACCCAAGGCACACACGAGCUGGAUGGCAAAAAGGUGGACCCGAAAGUAGCUUUUCCGCGACGUGCACAUCCCAAGAUGGUGACGAGAACGAAGAAAAUCUUUGUGGGCGGCCUCUCGGCGCCCACCACGCUGGAGGAUGUCAAAAGCUACUUUGAACAGUUUGGUCCGAUCGAGGACGCCAUGCUGAUGUUUGACAAGCAGACCAAUCGGCACAGAGGUUUUGGCUUCGUUACAUUUCAAAGCGAAGAUGUGGUAGACAAAGUUUGUGAAAUUCAUUUCCAUGAGAUAAACAACAAAAUGGUCGAGUGCAAGAAGGCGCAACCGAAGGAGGUAAUGCUGCCGGCAAAUCUGGCCAAGACCCGUGCGGCCGGUCGCUCUGCUUACGAUAACAUCAUGUGGGGUCUGGGGACAUUGCCCGAAGGUUUUCCAGCAGCUGCGUAUGCUGCUUAUGCCGCUGGUCGCGGUUAUUCGGGUUAUCCCAGCUUUGGACUCCCUUAUCCAACUGUUGAUCUAACCAAUGGGCAGCUGACACCCAACAACAAUACACCGCUGCUAACACAGGCGCUAUCAGGCGGUCUUGCAGUGAUGAACAACUACCAGGCGGCUGCGGCAGCUGCACACAGUUUUGGUCCGUCGGCCUCGCCACAUGCAGCGGCUGCCACCACGGCCACACGGCAGGGCUUUCCGUCAACCAACUCGCCCGGACCAACCAUUGACAUGUACAGCUCGGCCGGAGCCGACAAUGUGGGCUACGUCCAGGCAACCAGUCCGCAGCCAUCGGGCUUUCCCAUUGCCGUUAGCCGUGCCCCGUUGAACUACAGCCCGAUUUAUUCGUUGAACUUUGCGAUGGCUAAUAUAUAAAAAGACUGAUAACCCAAAAAAAAAAACAAAUAACAAAAAAUAAAGCAAAACAAACAAAAAAGCAAAAAGUAUAUACAAAAAAAAAAUACAAAAAAUAUACCAUAUAUAUAUAAAUCGAAAUAUAUAUAUACAUAUAUAACUAAAACAAAAGAAAAAAAAGAGAGAAAAAGAAAGUAAUAAGAGUAUAUAACAAACGCAGUUGCACAAGGGACCACUAAUUCCUGCGGCAUUUACAAAUGGAUACCAUUAAAAGGUGGCGCCGACAACCGCAAUGACAACAACAACAACAACAACAACAAUAUCAACAACAACAAGAACAAGAACAACAAUAGCAACAGCAACAACAACAAACGAGAACAAAAAUAGAGCAGCACACAACAAAACUAAAAACUACAACAAAAUGACAAGAGACACGAAAAGUAACUGUAAUGCUGCAACCACACAUACACACUGACACACACAUACACAGAACACAAAUACAACAUUAAUUUAAAAUAAAAAAAUACAGUUGGUAUAUACUAAUAUACUGACAUAUUAUAUACAUAUAUUUCUACAUUUUGCAAUUUGCAAAAUCUGUUAAGCAGCCAAGCAAAAAUCCAAUAAACCAAACGCAAACACACCUACACACACACAUAUUACAAUUAAUUAAUUAAAGUAUAUACAUAUAUAUACAACAAUAUAUAUAUAUAUAAUAAAUCUAUAUAUAAAAACAAAUGAUAGAACGCAGCGCAAGCAAACCAAAAAAAAAACACACAAAAAAAAAGAUGCAGAAAAAAAAUUAAUUUUAAUUUAAUGACAACAACUACAAACAGCCAGCGGAAGAAGAAGCAGCAUAACAACUACAACUACAACAACAAUAUUACCAAAUAACCAACCACGGCAGCCGUAGCCACAACCCUGCCACCCACUCCCCCAAUCCUCCCUCUCCCCUUCGCAACUCCCUUCGUAGAGCCAACUGAAAAAGAUGCAACGUGUGCAGCAAAAAUCGUUUAAAAUGCAAAUUAAACGAAACUGCGUCAAGUGCAGCGAUGAUGGCGGUGGUGGAGGCGGCGCAGGCGGUGGCAGAGGUAGGCGUGGCCCACACACCAACACACCAAAAUACACACACACACAGGCAAAGACAAACACACUGCAAUAUGAAGGCCAGCCUGGAGGAGAAACGAUGACAACAUUGUGCCAGGGGCCGAAGCGUCACCAUUUUUAAGUAAUGAGAAAACCAAAAAAAAGACAAAAAAAUACAAAAAAAAAAUACCAAAAUGUAAACUAUAAAAAGCUGAAGAAGAAGAAGCAGCAGCAGGAGCAGCAAAAAAGGCGAAAGUUGAAAAUACCAAAACAAAACAAAAGAAAACAAAAACAAAAAAAUGUUGCAAUAAUAGCGAAAAUGUUAUUAUUUAAAUGCGUAUUAUUAUUGAAAGCAAAUGAUUAUUAUUAUCAUUAUUAUUACAAUUCUUAAAUAACUAAGUUGUAACUUUUAAAGUUAAAGUCGAUAUAUAUAUAUAUACUUCUAUAUAUAUAUACAAAUUAUAUAUACAUAUUAUAUACAUAUACUUAUAAAGAAAACUGCAAUAUAUACAAAAGAUAAAAAUUACAUAAAUCAAAAAAGCAAACAAACAAAACAAAAAAGCAAAUAAUAAUAAUAAUAACACACAAAAUUAUUUGUUUUUUUCAAACGAAGCACUUAAUGACAUCCAAAAUGUAAUGUUUGCAAUGUUAUAAGUUUUUCUUUUUGGGAUGCGUUGGCAACCCUGUCGCAUCGUAUUGCAUGUUUUCUGUUUUAUUUUGUGUCAGUGGUGAAAAUCAAAAGAAAUCGAAAAUUGUGCUAAACAAUUAGAUGCAAAAGUUAUCAUUAUGAAUUUAUUUUAAAGUACAACAAACUCGUUUAUUGGCCAAAAUGAAUAAGAUGAGGAAACUUAUGUAAAAAGCAAAUCACAUCGAUAGCAUCGAUGGAUAAAAACAAAAUCUAAUUAAAUUAAAUGUGUUAAAUGUGUUGAAGUUCUGUAUUAUUUAAACGAUGAAAAGAAAAGAAAAAUGCAAGAAAUGAAGAAGGAAAAAUUGCAACUCUUUUGUGUUCACAUUGAAAGCAAAUGAAUAAUGCUAAUUAAACAAUGGAUAGUUAGACAAAUAUGUUAAAGCAUUGCUGCAUUCAUUAUCAAAACAAUGAAAGCGAAAAGCGAAAGCGAAAAUCGAGAGUGUGGUUGAAAUUUUUGCAUAACUCUCGAGGCAUAAAUCAAUUUAUUUGCACACGAUAAAGCAAAAAUCUAUGCAUAAGUAUAUAAGAAGAAAGCAUAUAACACACACACACACACAUACACAAGCAACACACAUACACUUAAACACACCCAUACAAACUGAUGAAUCAAAAGCAAGAAGAAAACAAACUUAAACAAAUUACAAUCUAAGCGCAUAUGCAAAUAUAACACAAUGAACUAUUAUACAUACAACAAUAUAUUAUAUUUAAGUAAAUAAAAUAUUUAUAAAAAGAAUUACCAAAAAAAACCAAAAAAGACAAAUGCUGAGAAACGCAAAUGUUUAAACAAUUAACUAAAUACUUAUGUAUGUAAACAAAAAAAAAAAAAAAACAAAAAAGCCAGAAUUUGGAUGGGUAAUCAAUGAAGGAAUGCAAGAAAAUGUUGAAAAGAAAAGCAUAUGAAAAGCAGGCCACGUUAUGUGCAAUUAAUUUUUCUAGUCGCGCCGUCUCGCGUCCUUCAUCGCAGGGAUACGCAGCAGGACGAUAGAAGGAGGGGUCAAGAGCAGUGGACUAGACGAUGCUACUUGGGGGGGGCGUAAUAGAAAAAUAUAUUUAUAUACAACUAUAUGGAGUAUUCAAUUAUUGGAACAAAACAAAAAAACAAGAAAAAAACCUAAAAAAAAAAACUAUCUGACAAUUAAGUAAACACAACAUUUGUUACACACAGCAAGUGGCAAAAGCAACCAACAAAAAAAAACUAACAAAAAAAAUGAUUAAAUAAAAAAAUGAAAUGUAUUGUUCUAUAAUUGACAGAACAAUAACAAACAAUAAGAUGCGCUUUUUGUCUGUCUGAGAUUUUUUGCACUAGGCGACAUACACAACAACAACAACAAAAACAACAAAAAAGAAACAAAUUUAAAGAAAAAAAACUAAAAGAAAAGCAGAAAAACAGAAGCAGAUGCAGAAGCAGAAACACAGUGAAAAUGUUCCUUUCAUAACUUUUUUUGCCAAAUUGUCAAACCAACGCUCUCCAGGACUUUGCCGAUGCAAAGUCUCGGACCAAAAUAGAAAAGACAAAACCUAUAUAGGAAUGAAGAUGACAAAACAACAACAACAAAACAAACAGCAUAUAUACGAUUAUACACGAAUACCAUACAUAUAUAGUUAUACAAAUUACAAACAAACAAAAAAAAGAGAAAAACAAAAUGAAAAAAAUAGAAUUGCAGUGUAAUAUAUAAUAGCGUUUAUAAUGUUGACAAAACAAUUCUACGAUUAUAACCCAAGAGAAACCCAAACACUGAAAAACGGAUAUGGAAAAAUAACUUUACCAAAACUUUAUAGCCCGUAAAGAUAUUUAGCAAAGAAGCACUUGGGACAAAACAUUUCAUUAAUUUCGAAAUUUUUCACUUGUCAUUUAACAUUUCACUUGAUUUCACCCACACACACACAUACACACACAAAAAUUCACUGAAUUGGGGACAUAAUUAAUAAAUAUAUAUAAAUAAUCAAAAAAAAGAAAAGAGAAGAGAAAAUAAAAUGGAAAAAUGAAUGAUGAAUAAACACAACUUUUAGAUAGGCGAAAGUAAGCUGCUAAAUUACAUAUUUAUAUAUACAUAUAUUGUAUAUGAAUCGGCUAGAGGCAAUCCAGAAUCUAUAUAGAUUAACCGAGCAUUGGUGAUUGCUGAUUGUCCAGCAAGGAAACAAAACAUAAACAAAAGCAACAAACACAUUUUACUUAUGUAUACGUAUGUAGUCUCGCAUACGGAGUGCAUACUGUAUCUGCAAGGGAGUCAAGGCAAUGGUUACUUUAACGCUAACUAAACUAUUUGUUAAUAAAAAAAGUAUAUAUAUACAUAUAUAUGAGAAUAAUAUUACAGAAUAAACAAUAAAAUCGCAGAGGGGCAAGUAUUCGUAAUCCAGGCAAAAAGGAUGCGAGGAAAUGCGUUUGGAAAAGCGAAAGAAAAAACAUGUUAUAUUUGCAUAAAAAAAUUAAAAACAAUAUAUAUAUAUAUAUAUGAAAGCGUAACUUGUAAGGCAAUAUACAUACACAAAUAUAAAUUAAAUAAAUAAAUCAAUAUAUUUUUAAGACACGUUCUAAAAGCAAUAAUUGAAAACAACAACAACAACAGCAAGAUGACAAGAAGAAGAACAACAUCAACAACAAUUGCAGCUAAUGUAAGUUUAAUGGAUGAAUUAAUGAGAAAAUAAAGCAAAUGGAAUACAUUAAAUAUACACCAAUAUAUAAAUAUACAUAUAAAUAUAUAUACACCUAAAAUUAUAUAUAUAUAUACAUACAAAAUAUAUAUAUAUAUAUAUGAUAAAUAAAUAUUAUUAAUUACGAGUGUAAAGCGACGAACGCAUGAACUGCAUUAAAAGUGGAAAAGCAAAGUUGGGAGAAGUUAAUUCUCUCUCUCACUUACAACAAAAUAUGCAUAUUGUAAAUUACUUGUAAACAUUUUUUGACUGUCCUAGAACAAAAAUACAAAACACAAAUACGAAACUGAAAACAAUUUAGAAUCGGUCUCGCAGUGUCGUCUAUAUCCGACCCCUUUGAGACUGAUGCAUUCUUAAAUGGCAUCCGAAUAAACAAAAGUCUAGAAAACAAUUCUCAGCAAAAAAACACACACAAAAUAAAUGAAAUCAUUUCUGUGGGCAGCUCUAAUGCCACAUCUCGUAUAGAUCGUAUGCUAAAACUUUGCUGGCCCAAAGUAUUCACUACAGAAAGCUAGUUUAAUUUUGUUUUAUGUUGUAAGUAGAAAACCGAAUGCCGAAUGCCGAAUUUCAACCGGAAAUGGUCCGAUGCGGAAACGGAAAAAGCGCAGCAUGAUGGCGUAUCGGGUUUUUUUCUUUAUUCGGCAGCUGUGCGACCCAAAAAGCGAAAAGACACAAAACGGGAUACAUUUUUUUGUGAGGGACUGUUGUUUAAACCGGUUGAGCUGAGCAGUUGAAUCGGUUAUUAAAAUAAACUUGUGAACAAAAAAAAAAACAAAAAGAAAAACAGCUUUAAGCGUACUGUUGAAUUUUUUUCUAGUAUUUUUCCCCCUGUUAACACGUUCGUUAUGUGUAGAAGAAGAAGAACAUGCUUUAUACAAGACAAACAACAUAUUAUUUUGUAGUGCUCUAUAUUGUUAAACGAAAAAACAAAAACAGAAAAAAGAACUCAGCUACAACAAGAACAACAACAGCAAAUUAUUGUAAUAAUAUUGGUAUACCGGAUCAACAACAACAACAACAUUAACAACCAAAAGAAAAUGCGUCCUUGUAACAAAAUCAAUUUCAGUCAAUUAGAUAAAACAUAAAAGAAAAAACAAAAACAACAAAAUGUUACAGCUACAAACACAAAGACAACAACAAACAAAAUGAAAACACAUUUAAGAAAGUAAAACAAAACAAAACGAAACAAAAGAAAACCAAAAACGACAAUUUUUUCAUUAUUUUUCUACUGAAGGCGUCGUCGAAAAGGACAGUCGUUAGAAAGAGAUAGCAGCUAGAGUUAGGUGAAAAGAAGGAGGAAUAGAGAGAGGGGAAGAAAGAGAAGGAAUUUCGACGGCGCAGGCGCAAAAGCUUUAAAUUGAACAUAAUAAAACAAAAAGAUGUCUCUUUUUUAUAUAAAUAGUGAGGAGACGAGGAAGAGAGGAUGAAAAACGUGUAUAAAAAUAAAUACAUAAGUAUGCCGUAAAAAAAAAUUUUUUAAAAAACACAAAGCGAUAUAAGAACACAUACUUACUUUAAGCUAAAUGCCGUUUUUUGAGUCGAAAAGUCAAUUUGUGGUCGCGUUUUUUUCGGGGAGAAUUCAGAAUAGAAUUGGAUGGAGAGGACACGACGACGAGACGUAUGAAGUGAGUGUAAUACAAAACGUAUGUAAAAUAGUUUUAAUGUGAGAAACCCAAAAUGAAAAUAUUUGAACAAAAUAAAACAAUUACGAAAAGACAGACAGCCAGACAAGGGUAAAAGAGUUUGGCGUGUAGUUACAACUUAUAUACGACUUACUUUCCGUUUAAUUCUAUUUAUGAUUAUUACGAUUACGAUAACGAUAACGAUUACGAUAACGAUAACGUUUACGAAUAACGAUCACCAUUAUUAUUACACUUCUUGUCUUAUAUAAACAUAUCAGUUCUUAUUAUGUGUAUGAGUAAUUCGCCAACAAUACGAUUACGAUUACGAUUACGAUUAACGAUAACGAUAAUUCAAUAACAACAACAACAACAACAACAAAUUAACAAUUAACUAAUCGAAUAUCGAAGGACGUGACGUUUCUUUUUAUAUAUAUACCAACAACACAUGCAAACGCCCCUCCUCCUCACCACAACCCCCUUUGCAGCCUGGAACUACGAUCCGAAUCCCAUUGAGAAGCGCAUAGAGAGGCACGUUGGGACGACGCAAUAUUGUGAGCCUUGUACACACACACACACACACUCAGACACACAGACAUGCUUUUAUAUAUGUAUGGUAGCAAUCAAUUACUGACAUCAGACAAUUCUCUCUCUUCAGUUCUUUAUAUAGACACAUAUGUACAUACACCACACCAACACACACACACCCAUACACACACACACACACUUGGUAAAUGCAUAGAACAAAGAAAAACAAUGAUGGGAAUGGAAAAACAAAAACCUACAUACAAUACAUACGAACGAUCACUUGACUAUUUUUGCUAUAAGUAAGAAAUUCCCCCCAGGAAUGUGUCAGUUUGCAGUUGGUACUCCUACUGACAAAAACACCUUUACUAUAUUGACAAUAUCUCUUAUAUAUUUUACACUAUACUAUAUGGAAAAAAAAUUAUAUAUUAAUAUAUACAAGAAUACAAAUAAAUAAUAAAUACAACAAGAAAACAAAUGGAUUAAGCUAAAAACCAAAAACCAAAAAAAACAACAACAAAAAAUACAAAAAAUAAAGAAGACAAAGCGAAAGCGGAUGAAGCGCGAAGGCGACGUUAAAAUUGUAUUUACAAAAAAAAACAAAA